AGUGAACGCUGGCGGUAGGCCUAACACAUGCAAGUCGAACGGCAGCAGAGUAAUAGCGUGCUCUUACGGGUGGCGAGGGGCGGAAGGGUGAGGAAGACAUCGGAAUCUACUUUUUCAUGGGGGAUAACGUAGGGAAACUUACGCUAAUACCGCAUACAACCUACGGGUGAAAGGAGAGGCUCCUCAUACCCUGCGCGAUUGAAUAAGCCGGUGACGGAUUAGCUAGUGGGCGGGGUACAGGCCCACCAAGGCGACGAUCCGUAGCUGGUCUGAGAGGAUGGUAAGGGACACUGGGACUGCGCCACGGGCCAGACUGCGACUGAGGCAAGCAUUAGGCACUAUUGGGCGACGGGAGCAAGGAUGAUCCAGCCAUACGGCGUCGGUGAAGAAGGCCUUGGGGUUCUAAAGCCCUUUUUUUAGGAAAGAAAAGCAGCUGGUUAAGACCACGAUGUUCUGACGGUACCCUAAGAAUAAGCACCGGCUAACUUCGUG
rnacentral:rRNA from 1 species